AUGAAUGCUGGCGGCGUGUCUAAGGCAUGCAAGUCGAACGGAUUAUGUUUUGUAGCAAUACGAAACAUGGUCAGUGGCAAACGGGUGCGUAACACAUUGGUAACCUGCCCCCCAGUCGGGCAUAACUCGCCGAAAGGCGUGCUAAUUCCACGAUGGACACCUCGAUGUAAAGUCGAGAUGUAAAGCGCAAAACGCGCUGGGGGAGGGGCCUAUGGCCUAUCAGCUAGUUGGUGAGGUAACGGCCCACCAAGGCUAUGACGGGUAGGGGAUGUGAGAGCAUGAUCCCCCUCACUGGGACUGAGACACUGCCCAGACACCUACGGGUGGCUGCAGUCGAGAAUAUUCCCCAAUGGACGAAAGUCUGAGGGAGCGACGCCGCGUGCAGGACGAAGGGCUUCGGCUCGUAAACUGCUUUUACCGAGGAUGAAUCAUGACAGUACUCGGAGAAUAAGAGGUUGCUAACUCUGU
rnacentral:rRNA from 1 species